GAGACAGAAAAUAAACGUUAUAUGGUGUGGUCUUCGGUGACCGCACGCAAAAUAUCGCGGGCGCUCUUUCCCACGAAAAGCACAUGUUUUGUUAUGGAGUUAUACUGUCGUUUCGUUAGGACAAGUUUUCCUUUCUAUUUAGAAGGCACAAUAACUUCGAAUCUUUCUCUUUCACGUGCAAUUUGUGAAUGGAAUGAAUACAAGUUAUGUGCAGAUUAGAAACGAACUAGCAAGUGAACAACUGAUUAAAGUACAGUUUCAAGUA
rnacentral:lncRNA from 1 species